rnacentral:rRNA from 1 species
CAGUAGGGAAUAUUAGAAAUGGCCGAAAGUCUGAUCUAGCGACACCGCGUGUGCGAUGAAGGCCUUCGGGUUGUAAAGCACUUUUUGGAAGGAAUAGGAAGGAAGGUACUUCCAGAAUAAGUCUCGGCUAACUACGUGCCAGCAGCCGCGGUAACACGUAGGAGGCAAACGUUAUCCGGAUUUACUGGGCGUAAAGCGCGUGUAGGUGGUUCUGUAAGUAGGGCGUGAAAGCUCCCGGCUCAACUGGGAGAGGCCGUUCUAAACUGCAGAGCUAGAGGAUGGUAGAGGGAGGUGGAAUUCCAGGUGUAGCGGUGGAAUGCGCAGAUAUCUGGAGGAACACCAGUGGCGAAAGCGGCCUCCUGGACCAUUCCUGACACUCAGACGCGAAAGCUAGGGUAGCAAACGG